rnacentral:rRNA from 1 species
GCAGGCUUAACACAUGCAAGUCGAGGGGCAGCAUGGUCUUAGCUUGCUAAGGCCGAUGGCGACCGGCGCACGGGUGAGUAACACGUAUCCAACCUGCCGUCUACUCUUGGACAGCCUUCUGAAAGGAAGAUUAAUACAAGAUGGCAUCAUGAGUCCGCAUGUUCACAUGAUUAAAGGUAUUCCGGUAGACGAUGGGGAUGCGUUCCAUUAGAUAGUAGGCGGGGUAACGGCCCACCUAGUCUUCGAUGGAUAGGGGUUCUGAGAGGAAGGUCCCCCACAUUGGAACUGAGACACGGUCCAAACUCCUACGGGAGGCAGCAGUGAGGAAUAUUGGUCAAUGGGCGAGAGCCUGAACCAGCCAAGUAGCGUGAAGGAUGGCUGCCCUAUGGGUUGUAAACUUCUUUUAUAAAGGAAUAAAGUCGGGUAUGGAUACCCGUUUGCAUGUACUUUAUGAAUAAGGAUCGGCUAACUCCGUGCCAGCAGCCGCGGUAAUACGGAGGAUCCGAGCGUUAUCCGGAUUUAUUGGGUUUAAAGGGAGCGUAGAUGGAUGUUUAAGUCAGUUGUGAAAGUUUGCGGCUCAACCGUAAAAUUGCAGUUGAUACUGGAUAUCUUGAGUGCAGUUGAGGCAGGCGGAAUUCGUGGUGUGGCGGUGAAAUGCUUAGAUAUCACGAAGAACUCCGAUUGCGAAGGCAGCCUGCUAAGCUGCAACUGACAUUGAGGCUCGAAAGUGUGGGUAUCAAACAGGAUUAGAUACCCUGGUAGUCCACACGGUAAACGAUGAAUACUCGCUGUUUGCGAUAUACGGCAAGCGGCCAAGCGAAAGCGUUAAGUAUUCCACCUGGGGAGUACGCCGGCAACGGUGAAACUCAAAGGAAUUGACGGGGGCCCGCACAAGCGGAGGAACAUGUGGUUUAAUUCGAUGAUACGCGAGGAACCUUACCCGGGCUUAAAUUGCAGAUGAAUUACGGUGAAAGCCGUAAGCCGCAAGGCAUCUGUGAAGGUGCUGCAUGGUUGUCGUCAGCUCGUGCCGUGAGGUGUCGGCUUAAGUGCCAUAACGAGCGCAACCCUUGUCGUCAGUUACUAACAGGUUCCGCUGAGGACUCUGACAAGACUGCCAUCGUAAGAUGUGAGGAAGGUGGGGAUGACGUCAAAUCAGCACGGCCCUUACGUCCGGGGCUACACACGUGUUACAAUGGGGGGUACAGAGGGCCGCUACCACGCGAGUGGAUGCCAAUCCCCAAAACCUCUCUCAGUUCGGACUGGAGUCUGCAACCCGACUCCACGAAGCUGGAUUCGCUAGUAAUCGCGCAUCAGCCACGGCGCGGUGAAUACGUUCCCGGGCCUUGUACACACCGCCCGUCAAGCCAUGGGAGCCGGGGGUACCUGAAGUGCGUAACCGCGAGGAGCGCCCUAGGGUAAAACUGGUGACUGGGGCUAA